AGCAGCCGCGGUAAUUCCAGCUCCAAUAGCGUAUAUUAAAGUUGUUGCAGUUAAAAAGCUCGUAGUUGAAUUUCGGGAUUGACGUGACGGUCGUGCCUUAAGGGGCGUGAACUGUCGCCGUUGAUUUCUCACCUUCUGGAGAAGCUCGAUGUCCUUAAUUGGAUGUCUUGUGGAACCAGGACCUUUACCUUGAAAAAAAUUAGAGUGUUUAAAGCAGGCAUUUUGCUCGAAUACAUUAGCAUGGAAUAAUAGAAUAGGACGGCAUGGUUCUAUUUUGUUGGUUUCUAGGAUCACCGUAAUGAUUAAUAGGGAUAGUUGGGGGCAUUAGUAUUCAAUUGUCAGAGGUGAAAUUCUUGGAUUUAUUGAAGACUAACUACUGCGAAAGCAUUUGCCAAGGAUGUUUUCAUUAAUCAAGAACGAAGUUAGGGGAUCGAAGACGAUCAGAUACCGUCGUAGUCUUAACCAUAAACUAUGCCGACUAGGAAUCAGACGAUGUUAAUUUUUAAUGACUCGUUUGGC
rnacentral:rRNA from 1 species